UACGUAGGGUGCGAGCGUUGUCCGGAAUUACUGGGCGUAAAGGGCGUGUAGGCGGUGUGUCAAGUCAGGCGUGAAAGCCCCGGGCUCAACCUGGGAACUGCAUCUGUGACUGCAUAGCUAGAGUACGGUAGAGGGGGAUGGAAUUCCGCGUGUAGCAGUGAAAUGCGUAGAUAUGCGGAGGAACACCGAUGGCGAAGGCAAUCCCCUGGACCUGUACUGACGCUCAUGCACGAAAGCGUGGGGAGCAAACAGG
rnacentral:rRNA from 1 species